UAGAGGUCCAAAGAAAAAGUGCUCAACGGGAGAGGGUUUUAAGAAAAAAAGCUUAAAAUAGACUGUAGGCUAUGGUGUUCAGGUACAGAAUAGGUGUUCAUAUGAUUUCUGGUGUGAUAAGGCCUUGAUUUUGAUCAGACCGUAUCUUUUGAUUGCAAUAUAUACUAGGGACUGGAAAGCUCUACAACCAAGAAAUAACUCUGAGGGUUUUUCUCAAGUGGUGGGAAGGAAUUUAAAUUGGGUGGCCCUUUCAUGUGUUAUUUUGAGUGUAGUGAAGAGACUAUGCAACCAUUUGCAUCUCCUUAUUCGUGAACUAACUUGAGACUAGGUUUCUUAAUGCCUGUUUUAAAUGAAAGACAAUGUAUCCUGUUGCCCAGAAACACUCUGGAACUUUGACCCGUUACCUUGGUGACCUGUUCAAAGAGUUGCAUCUGUAAUAUGCACUGGAAGGGUAUUGGAAGAGAGAGAGGAAACUCCAGCCAGAGAAUGACUUUUUUUCACUGAAACCUUGGAAAGUUGCUGAGAAUCCUG